UGGGGAAUAUUGCGCAAUGGGGGAAGACCCUGACGCAGCAACGCCGCGUGCAGGAAGAAGGUCUUCGGAUUGUAAACUGUUGUCGCAAGGGAAGAAGACAGUGACGGUACCUUGUGAGAAAGUCACGGCUAACUACGUGCCAGCAGCCGCGGUAAUACGUAGGUGACAAGCGUUGUCCGGAUUUACUGGGUGUAAAGGGCGCGUAGGCGGACUGUCAAGUCAGUCGUGAAAUACCGGGGCUUAACCCCGGGGCUGCGAUUGAAACUGACAGCCUUGAGUAUCGGAGAGGAAAGCGGAAUUCCUAGUGUAGCGGUGAAAUGCGUAGAUAUUAGGAGGAACACCAGUGGCGAAGGCGGCUUUCUGGACGACAACUGACGCUGAGGCGCGAAAGUGUGGGGAGCAAACAGGAUUAGAUACCC
rnacentral:rRNA from 1 species